rnacentral:rRNA from 1 species
GACGAACGCUGGCGGCGCGCCUAACACAUGCAAGUCGAACGAGCGAGAGAGAGCUUGCUUUCUCAAGCGAGUGGCGAACGGGUGAGUAACGCGUGAGGAACCUGCCUCAAAGAGGGGGACAACAGUUGGAAACGACUGCUAAUACCGCAUAAGCCCACAGGUCGGCAUCGACCAGAGGGAAAAGGAGCAAUCCGCUUUGAGAUGGCCUCGCGUCCGAUUAGCUAGUUGGUGAGGUAACGUCCCACCAAUGCAACGAUCGGUAGCCGGACUGAGGGGUUGAACGGCCACAUUGGGAAUGAGACACGGACCAGACUCCUACGGGAGGCAGCAGUGGGGAAUAUUGCACAAUGGGGGAAACCCUGAUGAAGCGACGCCGCGUGGAGGAAGAAGGUCUUCGGAUUGUAAACUCCUGUUGUUGAGGAAGAUAAUGACGGUAAUCAACAAGGAAGUGACGGCUAACUACGUG